AUUGAACGCUGGCGGCAUGCCUUACACAUGCAAGUCGAACGGCAGCACGGGUGCUUGCUCCUGGUGGCGAGUGGCGAACGGGUGAGUAAUACAUCGGCACAUGUCCUGUAGUGGGGGAUAGCCCGGCGAAAGCCGGAUUAAUACCGCAUACGAUCUACGGAUGAAAGCGGGGGACCUUCGGGCCUCGCCCUAUAGGGUUGGCCGAUGGCUGAUUAGCUAGUUGGUGGGGUAAAGGCCUACCAAGGCGACGAUCAGUAGCUGGUCUGAGAGGACGACCAGCCACACUGGGACUGAGACACGGCCCAGACUCCUACGGGAGGCAGCAGUGGGGAAUUUUGGACAAUGGGCGAAAGCCUGAUCCAGCAAUGCCGCGUGUGUGAAGAAGGCCUUCGGGUUGUAAAGCACUUUUGUCCGGAAAGAAAUCCUGGGCCCUAAUACGGUCGGGGGAUGACGGUACCGGAAGAAUAAGCACCGGCUAACUACGUG
rnacentral:rRNA from 1 species